CACACACACACACACAACACACACACACACACACACAUACACACACGCCACCCCUGCCCACCUCCCAGCUGUUGUCCAGGUCGGCGGCCAGGCGCGCCGUGUCGAUCUGCAGCUUGGAGAUGCCCUUGAGGCUGGCGGCGUAGGCCAGCAGCGCGUGCCCGAUGCCCACGCCCAGGUUGCGCAGCACGGUGGAGUCGGUGAGGUCGCGUUGCCAGCGGCUGAUGGGCAGCUUGUUGAUCAGGUGGUCCAUCAGCGCGUUGGCCAGGCCCAGGUUGCCCUCGCUGUUCUCAAAGUCGAUGGGGUUCACCUUGUGCGGCAUGGUGGAGGAGC
rnacentral:lncRNA from 1 species